rnacentral:tRNA from 1 species
UCGCUCGGGGCGGCGGCGGGUCGUCUUCGCUCAGGGCGGGGAUCGGGUCGUUCUCGCUCACGGUGGCAGCGGGUCGCCCUCGCUCAGGGCGGG